rnacentral:lncRNA from 1 species
UUAUCAGUUCAAUAAAUCGAAAAGUAAAACAUAACCACAAAAUAUUAUUCAAAGCUCCAUUUUAUUCAAUUUUUUUCAAUAUUCGUCACAUGUUUCUUUCAAAAAAAUAAAAUAAAAUAUUCGUUGACAUGUUGAUUUUUCAUACAUGUAGCUUACUGCAGCAUGUAAGAAAACAAAGAAACAAUGGAAGCCCCAACCAAUGAUCCAAGAACAGGCAAGGUUGCGGCAGCCACGCUGGAAUCGGCUCCUGGUGCUACGGCGGAAGCAGGAGAGGAGCUAGGACUAGAACCACCGGCUGAAGGGGAAGGAGCAGGUGCACCGCCAGCCAUGACGGCGCUUAUUGAGGCGGCAGCAACAAUGAUGGCGGUGGAGACCUUCUUCAUGUCCAUGGCGUAUAAAGUGAUUAUUAAACGCUCCGGAAAUGAGCGGGACCUGCGUUUAAUUACCGGUGAAUGGGGAUCCGCCCGUGAUUGUUAUUAUUUGCUUUGUUAUUGCAGGUCUGAAGAACAAUGAUGGUGGCGAGGAUCAUUUAUAGGUGAAAAUUCAUGGCUAUUUUUAGUGACGAAUUUUUUUUUUAAAAAAUUACGUGUUUGGUUUUUGCAUGGCUUGCGGGAUAGACAUGGAAAUUUUUUAAUAUUUUUUUAACGAUUAUGACUGGUUUUUAGAUAUGGAGAUAUUUAAUGAAUUACAGGUUAAAUUUUUUUUUUAAAACUUUACAGGUUAAUUAUUUUUUGGUAACAAGAAAAGGAUUAAAAAAUUAACAAGAAAUAACAGGCUUUGAACAUGCAAACAUGCUAUCCAUCCUUACAAUAUGACUGACCAAAGAGGGGGCAUUAUAAUAUAUUUGUAUACCAACCGACACUUCUUUCAUCAUAUCAGCCAAUGAGUAUGCAACGGAGUUUACUUCUUUUGGGAUUUGCUUGAAGAUAACAUUCAAAUCACGACUUAUUAACUCUCGAAUUCUAAGAACCAAAUCUUUUUGAACACACCCUCUCAAUUCGCCUGUGGUCUCUUUAAAGGCAAGUGCACAACCUGUUUCCACUAAGAUAUCUCGUCAUUGGACAUCCCAUGCCAUAAUAAGCCCAUUAUAGAUCGCCUAAAGCUCUGCUUGCUAAACACCACAUUUACCAAUAUUUCUACCUACUUCACGAAUUCAAUUGCCAAAUUCAUCUCUCGCCACUGCUGCCGAAGCUACCAAACCCGAUACUAGAUCACGAGCCCCGUCAUUAUUUAGUUUAAUGGUACCUAUUGGAGGAGGGAUCCAUCGGCUACACCUAGUUUGUCUUUUGGUACAAUCAUCCGGUCUUCCAGUUGUGCACUUAAAGCUUUAAGCUAAUUCUAUGAAGAGUGAAGGAUAAAAUCUUUACUAAACGGAACAUCCUGGAACACAUGCUAACAUCUUUAUUUCCAUAUCUUCCAAUAGAGUAUACCAAACAGGGACUUCCAAUCAAGCUCAUGAAAAAUUAAGCCAAAUACAUUUCUCGAGUUAACCCUUAGCCAGUCCUUUAGCGAGUAAGAGAAGAAAUGAUACAUUAAUCUCGGAUGAAUGGCCUGCUCCCAAAUAUCUCUUACCCUACAACAAUCCCUUAAGGAAUGAAGAAUAGAUUCAUUUACACAUCCGCAAAGCUUACAACAAGAAGAAUCUGACAUACCUCUUCUGUAAUGUUCCGCAUUAGUUAAUAAGCGUUCCUUGAAAACCAAUCAAAGAAAAUACUCUUACAUGUUGUGGUCCUACAAAAGACCACACGAGUUUCCAACUAUCUUCAGAAGGAUUCAAGGCAUCUUUACUGAGAAAAUUAUAGGCAGACUUAACUAAUAAACUCCCACUAGAAGGCCAUUGUGAUAUCAUUGAAUUGAGACCAACUAGGCAAUUAGGAACUGGAAUACCUGCAAUGUAGGAUAAAAUAAUAUCAUCUAAGAAACAUCUUAGGUACUGCCAGUUCCAAUCCCCAUCCAUCGACACCAUCUCCCUAGGAGAAAUGGAUUCAUCAAUAAACGAGAUUUUGUGGAAAAAAUUAAUCAAAGGUCCAACCCCAACGACCCAAUUAUCAGUCCAAAAUUUGAUACAAUUACCAUCACCCACAGACCAUGCAACACAUUUGCGCAAAAGUGGCCAAAUCUUCGCAAGUGAUCUCCAAAGAAAGGAACAACAAUUCUUUGUAAUGUCAACAGGGAAAUCAUCAAUUAUUUGGUAUUUAGCUCUCAAGAAAAGAACACAUAAAGCCUUUUUAUAUGUAAGGAAGUUAAACUUCAACUUGAGCAGAAGUCAGUAUACCUUACAGUUUUGGCAUGGCCUAUUACACGGCUUGGCACACGGGCGUGUGUGGCCACUUCGAAGGGCACACGGGCUAAACACAUGGGCGUGUGGUUGGCCGUGUGACCCAAGUCAGUAUGUAUACCUUGUUUUCAGACGGCUUGAGACACAGGCGUGCCUGGAGCCGUGUGAGGCACACGGCCUGUUCACACGGGCGUGUGACCCCUGUAUGUUUGAAAAUUUUCUAAGUUUCCAAAAUUUUUGUAUGAUAUCGGUUUAAUCUCGAACCACUUCUAAAGCCUGUUUAAGGCCUCGUAGGCCUUUAUAAGGGACUAUGUGGUUGUAUUACAUGAUGUAUGAGAAUGAAUGCUUAAUGUUGUGAAUGUAUGUUAUAUAUUGUGUAUUGAUCAGUAAUACUUCUUAACUCUAUUCCGGCAACAAAUACGGAUUAGGGGUGUUACAUUAGUCAUAGAAAUGAGAAUAGGCCUAUGAUCUGACUUCAACCGCGGAAGGUGAAAUAGUAAGGCAUCAAAAAAGGUACGACACCACCCACCAUUACUAAUAACCCGAUCCAAUCGAAUAUGUUUUAAUAUUGAAUGAUAAUGAAUUUUUAUUUAAAUUUAAUUAAAUUAUUUGAAUAUGUUUUAAUUUUUUCAUUAUUAUUUUUAAAAUCAUAAAAUUUGAUUUGGACAUAUAUGAUUUUUUUUACGAAACAGGUUGUGAGGUGGAAUUAAGGUGUAUUAAUUUCAUAGAUUUUAUAUUUAUUUAUUUUGAAUGGAUUUUUUUAGAUAAAAAGCUUAAUGGUAAAGUAAAGUGAGGCGAUUCUAAUCAUUUUUAUGUAAAUAUUACAUAAUAAGAUGUACUAAAAAAAUAUUAAGUACUAUGAUAAAUGUAGAUUUAUUCAUGGAAAGGACUAUUCAGCCCGGUCCAAAGGCCAACUAAAAAAUAAAAAGGUUUGGGUAAAAAUAUAGAUUCAAAAAAUGGACUUAGUAAUAUAUAUAUACACACGUAAUUCUGCAUUGGCAAUAAUGUCUAUACCAAUAGAGCUAAGAGUCAAUCGGCUAAUACCAUAAAUUUUAUAUUUAUUAAUUUUGAGUAGAUAUUUUUUUAAACUAAAACCAUAAUGCUAAAGUAAAGCGAGAUGAUUCUGAUCAUUUAUAUGUAAAUAUUAUAUUUAUAUGCAAAUAUUAUAUAAUAAGAUGUACUAAAAAAUAUACUAUGAUAAAUGGUCGGAUGGUAAGUUUUUGUUGAGAUGAAUAUAAGACUAUAAAGGUAAAAUUAUUAGUUAAGCUCCUGUACAUAGGGGAAGAUUGCAUUUCGGCCCCUUUAUUGAAAAAAAAUGAGCUAAUUAGUCUUUAUAUAUUUUGAAAUAUACAAAUUAACUCAUCUGUUAAAGUUUAUCUCUUAAAUAAUGACGUGAAAACUGAUUCGUAUUGCCCAAUCAUGUCACGAUCAAUCGCUUUGAUGCAUAAUGGGAUUCAAUUUCAUCACACCGAGGCCUUACUUUUUCACCAGAGGAUUACAAACUCCAUUGACUUUCAUUUUUUCCUUUUGUAUCUAGACUUGAUCAUGGGUUGAGCCAUUCUGUCCAACUCAAAGGCAAGUCCAAAAAGUAAGAAUAUUUAGUGGUAGGGAAAGAGGCUAGCAAGGGCCUUACACCCUAUCCUAAUAUGGAUUUCAAACUCUUCAAAAUUUAUAAAAGCACAAGUUAGACAUAUAUGAUAAAGUUAUAAUUUAACCUCAAAAUUGUUAAAAUUUCAAUUUAAUCAUUUUAAAUACUAUAAAAUAUAACUAAAUACAUAUUUUAACUCUCAUAAAAUAUAUAUAUAUUAAUCUCGAUUUCUUUAAAAUAAAUUUCCAACUUCUCCCUGCAUUUAUCUAAUUACAUACUAGUUAUUAGUUUGUUAUUUUCAUGUUAUUCAUUGUUAUUAGUUGAAUAAAUCGAAAACUAAACGCAUAAGCACAAAAUAUUAUUCAAAGCUCCAUUUUAUUCAAUUUUUUCAAAAUUCAUCACAUGUUUCUUUCGAAAAGAAUAAAAUAAAACAUUCGUUGACAUGUUCAUUUUUCAUACAUGUAACUUAUUGCAGCAUGUAAGAAAACAAAGAAACAAUGGAGGCCAAUGAUCCAAGAACAGGCAAGGUAGCGGCAGCCACGCUGGAAUCCGGUCCUGAUGCUGGGGCGGAACCAGGAGAGGAGCUAGGACUAGAACCACCGGCUGAAGGGGCAGGAGAUGGUGCACCGGCAGCCAUGACGACGCUCAUUGAGGCGGCAGCAACAAUGAUGGCGGUGGAGACCUUCUUCAUGUCCAUGGCGUAUAAAGGGGUUAUUAAACGCACUGGAAAUGAAUGAGACCUGCGUUUAAUAACUGGUGAAUGGGGAUCCGCCGGUGAUUGUUAUUAUUUGCUUUGUUAUUGCAGGUCUGAAGAACAAUGAUGGUGGGGUGGAUCUUUUAUAGGUGAAAAUUCAUGGCUAUUUUUAGUGACAAAAGUUCAAAAAAAAUUUACGUGUUUGGUUCUCGCAUGGUUUGCGGGAUAGACAUGCAAAAUUUUGAAUUUUUUUUAACGAUUUUGACUGGAUUUUUUGAUAAAGGGAUUUUAAUUUUUUUUAAGAGAGGGAGAGUAGUAAAUUAACAGUAAUUACAUCAACAUCAUCUUGUAAAUUAUUUAGAAUGGAAGUAUCAAUUUGUUGGACAGAAAAAACAAAUUAACAAAGGUCCAAUUGAUAGUCAAACAUCAAAUCAGCUAAGGCAUUAGCUGCUCCAUUACAUUUCUUUAAAUAUGCUCAAUGUGAACCACUCAUGCUCGAGUGCAAAACAUUUUUAUUUUGCAUACUAAUGUCCUGUUCACUACGCUUUUAUAGUCACCAUUAAUUGCUUAAACUGCAGUUAAAUAAUCACAUUCCAAAACAACCAAUUUCCACCCUUCAAACCAAAGUAAUUUAAGUCCACCAUAGAUUGGCCAAGGUUCUGCUUGUUGAACACUACAUUUCCCAAUAUUGUGACUGUAGCUAAAUCUGCCAUGGUUAUCUUUAGCAGUCUCAGUUGAGUAGGCAAGUCCGAUAUAACGUUUCUUUGCAUCAUUUGUGUUUAUUUUCACAUAACCAGCUAUUGGUUGUUGCCAGGUGCUUAGUCUAAUUUGAUUUUUAACCUUGAUUGUUGAUUCUCUAUUAUGUUUAACAUUCACAACUUAACUCCGAGUCAAUCCUACAAGCAUUCCAGAAUUAUGAGGAACAUUUCUAAAAACUUGGAGUAAAAUGAAUGUGAAAUAAAUUGCUUCCAUACUUCCUGAGCUUUGGAAAAUCAUGAAGUAUAUGAAGAAUAUUUUCUUUUGCAAAUCCACAAAUGCAGCAAUUAGCAUCAUUCGUCAGUCCGCAUCUGUAUCUUUCCAUACUAUUAUUCACACCCUCUUUGUCAUUGUUCCUAUCUCCAUCCUCUUACAUGGCAGGAGGCAAAAGGAGGGGCUGAUAAGGGCUUUACACCCUUUCUUAAAAUGGGUUCAACUCUCCAAAAUUCAUAAAAACAUAAGUUAAAUAUAGGGUAAACUAUAAAAAUAAUUAUUUUUGUUUGUCUUAGAUUACAUUUUGAUCAUUGAUAUUUAAAAUGUUACGUUUUGGCCACUUACAUUAUCAUUUUGUUAUGAAGUAGACUAGGAUGAGAAUAGCUUUUUCAGUCAAAAUGAAAAAGAAAGCUAAAAGAAAGAAGACAAACAAUCUUUAUUGUCCAAUUUAAGGUGCAAUUAAUUUAAAAUUCUCAAUAAAAAUGAACAACCUAUUCUCGUUCUUAUCGAAAAUUUAAGUUAAUACGUAAGUGAUUAAAACUUAACAUUUCAAAUAUAAAUAAAUAAAAUAUAAUAUGAAGCAAACAAAAAUAAAAAUACAUAUUUUAAUAUGGAUUUCUCUUAAAAAAAAUUCCCAACUUACCCUGCAUUUAUCUAAUUACAUAUUAUUUAUUAGUUAAAUAAUUCAUUGAUAUUUUCAUGUUAUUAGUUGAAUAAAUCGAAAAGUAAACGCAUAAAAACAAAAUACUUUUCAGCUCCAUUUCAAUUUUUUCAAUAUUCAUCACAUGUUUCUUACAAAAAAAUAAAAAAUAAAAUAAAAUAUUCGUUCACAUGUUCAUUUUUCAUACAUGUAGCACGUAAGAAAACAAAGAAACAAUGGAAGCCCCAACCAAUGAUCCAAGAACAGGCAAGGUUGCGGCAGCCACGCUGGAAUCUGGUCCUGGUGCUGUGACGGAAGCAGGAGAGGAGCUAGGACUAGAACCACCGGCUGAAGGGGAAGGAGCAGGUGCACCGGCAGCCAUGACGGCGCUCAUUGAGGCGGCAGCAACAAUGAUGGCGGUGGAGACCUUCUUCAUGUCCAUGGCGUAUAAAGGGAUUAUUAGACGCACAUGAAUGAGACCUGUGUUUAAUAACUGGAGAAUGGGGAUCCGCCGGUGAUUGUAAUUAUUUGCUUUGUUAUUGCAGGUCUGAAGAACAAUGAUGGUGGGGAGGAUCUUUUAUAGGUGAAAAUUCAUGGCUAUUUUUAGUGACGAAAUUUAAAAAUCAAAUUACGUGUUUGGUUUUCGCAUGGUUUGCGGAAUAGACAUGCAAAUUUUUGAAUUUUUUUAACGAUCUUGACUGGAUUUUUAGAUAGGGAGAUUUUAAAAUUUUUUAAGAGAAAAAAGUAAUAAUUUAACAGCAAUUACAUCGAUAUCAUCUGGCAGAUUAUUUAUGUCAGAAACCAUUUUUUGAAAACGGGAUCGACUUUGGUUUUGAAAGUGAAAAUUAAAACGGGAGUCGCCAUCGAUCUUUAUUGGGUGUCGGAUCACCCUUGUUUUAAUAAAACAUUUUAGUUUACUAAAACGACAUUUUGGUCUACGAAUUUUGAGAAAACGGGUUCGGGAGUCGGUUACUUACGAGGAAGGAUUAGCACCGUCGUAACGCCCAAAAUUGGUACUUAAUUGAUUAAUUAAUAUCUUAAUAUCGAAAAUUGAAAAGAUUUAAAAUAAAUUUUGAAAUACGAUCCCUUUUUAUGAAUGUUGAGUUUAAAAGUGCUUGAAUUGGAUCAAAACGAUUGCUAAAGAUUUUCUUGUCUCGAGACAUCAAAGAAUCACAUCCCGUAAGUUAGGACGCGAUACCUUGAACUUCCGAGCGCAAGUUUAUCUUUAAUUUUAAUUGAAAUUUCAUGUGUUUUUAAAACUCGAAAGGAUAUUUGGCUAUUUAGAAUCAACGAGAGAAUCGAAACCCCGUAAGUUAGGGCAUAAUUCUUCAGUGUUCCAAGACGCGAAACAUUUCCUUAUUUUCAAAAUUUCUUUUGUUUUAAAUUUGGACCUAAAAGUUUUAAUGAAAUAUUUAAGAGGUAUACGUUUAGAAACAAAUCGCGAUGAAUAAUCCAAAUAAUGAAACGAAUAUACACCAUAAAAGUCAUAAUAUCGAAAUGUUUGGACACGGUUGGGAUGACAAGACUUUACAAAUCAAUAUAUGUUUUAAACAUAUGGGCCACUCGAUGAAUGGGUGAAUAGGGUAAGCGUACACGGUAUUGAGCAUACACAUUUCGAAGUAGAAAUAAUAUAUAAAUAGCAUAAAUAAUGAAAAGACAAAUAAAAUAAUAUGGUAAACGAAUAAAUAACAAUGACAGGUACAGUGUUGGACUUGAAACAUAAAAUGUACAAGGGUAUAAUAAACGAACAAAUAAGACAAAAUAUAAUGAAAGUGCAAUCAUCUAAAAUCCAAACAUAAUUUAACCGGUUUUGCAAUGGAAUUUGGAACAGAAGGAAUAUACAUGUAUAUAUAUAUAAUUCAAAGUGGUGAUAAAUGUAAAGAAUUUUAAAGUAAAUAACAUACACAAUAAUUUAAACCAAGUAAUUCAUAUAAAACUCUAAAAUAGAAUAUAUGCAAAGAUUUAAAGUAAAUCAUGUAUAUAAAAAAUUUAAAAUAAAUAAUAUUCCAAAAUACAUAAUGUAUAAGAAGUAUGUGAAAAAAAUUUAAUAUAAGUAAUAUAUGAAGUCUUAAGGUAAAUAAUAAUAAAAGGUUUGUAAUAAAUAAUAACAGAAUUUAAAAUUAUUUACAUAUAAAAUAGUAUAACAAAAGAAUAUGUAAAAACUUAAAAUAUGCAAAAUGGUUUAUCAUACAUAAUGUAUAAGUGAAAAGAAAAUUUUGAGACAAAACAACGUAUGAAAACCUAAAAAAAGAAGUAUGUAUAUAUAUAUAAUAAUUUAGAGUACAAAGAUACAUAUAAAAUUUGAAAUGAAUACUACGUAUGAUAAUUUAGAAGAAAUAACAUAUAUGCAAAAUUUUUAAAAUUGAUAAUGAUUUAGAAUAUAUGAUAUAUUCAAAAUAAUGCCAAUAAUAAUAGUAAUAAUAAUGUAGAUAAGAAACAAAAAUAUAUAUAUAUAAUAUAAUAUGGCAAAUUUAAUAUAAAAUUGAUUGAUUUGAUGACAUAGUGGUGAUACUAGUGAUAACACAACAAUAAUGACAUAGAAAACAAUGAUAUCAAUAAAAUAAUAAGGACAAAAAUAGCUCCAAUAUUAACAAUAACGACAAUAAUAGAAUAACAAUGAUUAUAACUAUAAUGUAAAAACAAUGAUAUAAAUAGUAACAACCAUAAUGAUAAAAUAUAAGAAAUAAUAGAAUAAUGGCAAUAAUAAUAAGUAGUAAUAAUAGAAUUAAUAAUAAAAAUAAAUUUGAUUAAUUAAUAACAAAAUGGUUGAAUACUUAAAAAAGGACUAUAUUGAAUUUUGGAACACAAAUUUGGGGAGAAUUCGAAAUAAAAAAGGAGGACCACAUUGGAACGCGCCAAGAAAGUAGAAGGAUCCCAUGCACAAAUAGACCAUCCGGACAAAAUGCGCGGAUCCUCCGUGGGCGCGGGUCGGGUCACAUUCGGGUCAAAUGAAACGGUGCCGUUUCAGCACUUAGACCACCCACCCAAAACGCUGUCGUUUUGUGAGUGUAUAUAAGGCCCAAUUUUUGUUACAAAAAUCAUUUUAGCCUUCAAAAUAAUAAAAAAACUGAAACAAUCCCUUAAACUCUCUCUCCCUCCUCCAUUUUCUCAUUUCGGCUAGGGCUUUAACACCCAUCAUCGCCGCCAUCGUCGUGGCCUUUUGUGGCCGCCGUAGUUCCCACCGUAGACGGUGGUUAAGGGUAUGCGAAAAGGGGCUUUCCACCUCUGUUCAAGGCGUCCAAGAGUUUAUGAGGAUAGACCCCUUUUUAUUUCCCUUUUGAAUCGGUCUCAAUCACGGAGCAGAGGCUCCGGCGACGCGAUUCCAGGCUUCGGUAAGUCCCCUCCCUUCUCUUUAUUUCUAUUUAUUUUCGGAUGUCUAAAGAAAUAAAAAUCAAAAGAAAACAGAAUAUAUGAAUUUUAGAACUUAAAACGAAAAUGGAAACGAAAUCAACCUUUUAGUUUUCUUGCUAUUAUGUUUGCUUAAUGUCUCCCCCUUUUACAAUCGGUUUCUUUUUUUAAUUCGAAAAAAAAACCCCCUUACAAAUGAUAGAUUUUGGCUUUUUAAAGCCGAUCUACCAAACAUUCAUUCCAUAUUUUUUUGUUUUUGUUCCUUUGUUUAUUUUUUUUCCAUCAUUCGCAUGCUUUCUCUUGCUGUUGUUUUUGUCUCUGUUGCAGGUGCCAUGCGACGCGUGGAAGAGGCGACGGUCAGGGCAUGCAUGGGAGGAGCGACGGCUGCAAUGCUUUGGUGGCUAGGGUUCUUUUUUAGCAGAAAAUAUUUUGUGGGCUAGGGUUUCUAAGCUUUUAGGUUUAUUGGGCUUCUUUUGGGUUUUAAAAUUUUUUUGGCUGGUGUGGGUUUUGCAAAUAGACAUUUAUUUUAUUUGGGUUUUGUUACUUUAAUGGGUUUGGGCAAUUUGUCUUGGGUUGUUUAACAUUGUAAAUGGACUUGAAAGUUGGUUAUGUGGAUUUUAUUUUUUGGCUUAUUUGUUUGGGCCAAAAUUGGCCAUUAUAAUUUAGAAUGGAAGUAUCAAUUUGUUGGAGAGAAAAAAUAAAAUAGUGGAGAUUCAAUUUAAGUUAAACAUCGUAUCAGCUAAGGCAUUAACUGCUCCAUUAGAUUUCCUUAAAUAUGCUCAAUGUGAACCAUUCGUGCUCAAGUGCAAAGUUCUUUUAUUCUGCAUACUAGUGCUCUGUUCACUACGCCUUUUUUAGUCAUUAUUGAUUGUUUGAAUUGCAGUUAAAUAAUCACAUUCCAAAACAACCAAUUUCCACCUUUCGCACCACAACAGUUUAAGUCCACUAUAGAUUGGCCAAGGUUCUGCUUGUUCAACACUACAUUUCUCAAUAUUGUGACCAUAUUGUGACCGUAGCCCCGUAGCCAAAUAUCCAUCUACUAUGGUUGUGUCUAGCAAUCUCAGCUGAGCAAGCAAGUCUAGUAUGAAGUUUCCUUGCACCAUCUGUGUUCAAUUUGAUGCAACCAGGUAUUGAUUGCUGCCAGGUGCUUGGUUUGAUUCGAUUUUUAACCUUGAUCGUUGAUUCCCUCUUAUGUUAUUAACAUUCACAACCCAACUUCAAGCCAAUCUUACAAGCAUAUUCCAAAAACAAAAAAAUUCCUUUAUUUCCAUACAAACUAGCAUAAUAUACCGAACAGGAUGAUCAAAUUGUAAAUUUAGUUUAUUAGUAAAGUUGACAUUCACCCAGAACAAAAGUGGCACAGAUAAGAACUUAGAGUAAAAUGAAUUCGGAAUGAAUUGCAUCCAUACUUCUUCCUCAGCUUUGGAACAGUCAAGAAGUAUAUGAAGAAUAUUCUCGUCAGUGCCCUUCUUUCCAUACUAUUAUAUUUUAAUAGUAAAAUAGACCACAAAAUUAACCCGAGUCAAUUUGAAUUUUUUUUUAAAAUUCAGAAAGUACAAAGAAAAUACAAUUAUAAAACAUCUAUAAAUAAAUAUCCAAUUAAUUAUAAUAUAGAAUUCAAUUAAUUACAACUAUAAAAAAAUACAAAUAUAUUCAAACACCCUUUCUGUCUUCAUUCCUUUCUUCACCCUCUUUAGUGGUAGGAGGGAAAAGGAGGGGGUUGAUAAGGGCUUUACACCCUCUCUUAAAUUGGUUUAGACUAUCCAAAAUUCAAAAAAACAUAAAUUAAGAUAAAAUGUAAAAUUAUUCAAUUUUAUUUAUCUUAGAUUACAUUUUAGUUCCUUAUAUUUGAAAUGUUAUGUUUUAGUCACUUACAUUUUUGUUACGAAGUAUCCACUUUACCGUUCAUCUCCGUUACUUUCGUAACAACAAUCCUACAUAACAAUCCAAAUGAGUUCUAAAUGCCAAUUGGGAUGAGAAUAGUUCUAAAAGAAAAAGGGGACCAACUGUUUUUAUUUUCCAAUUCAAGGUGUAAUUAAUUUAAAAUUUACAAUUAAUUAAAUUUAGUUAAUUAAAAAACCUAUUCUAGUCCCAAUUGGACAUUCAAGUUGGCAUUUAAAAUUUAUUUGGACUGCCACUUAGGAUUGCCAUUAGAGAGGUAACGGAGCUUAAUAAGAGUGACCACUUUGUAACAAACGAUAACGUAAGUGACUAAAAUGUAAUCUGAGACAAACAAAAGUGACUAUUUUUAUAAUUACCCUUAAAUAUAUGAUAAAGUUAUAAAUUAAGCGCAAAAUUGCUAAAUUUUCAAUUUAAUCAUUUUAAAUACCACAAAAUAUAAUUAAAUAUGUAUUUUGACUCUUAUAAAAUAUAUAUAUUUUAAUCUCGAUUACCCUAAAAAAUAAAUCCAACUUCACCCUGCAUUAAUCUAAUUACAUACUAGUUAUUAGUUCAAUAAUUCAUUGUUAUUUUCAUGUUAUUAGUUGAAUAAAUCGAAAAGUAAAAGCAUAAACACAAAAUACUUUUUCAAAGCUCCAUUUCAAUUUUUUCAAUAUUCAUCACAUGUUUCUUACAAAAAAUAAAAAAUAAAUAAAAUAUUCGUUCACAUGUUAGAUUUUUCAUACAUGUAGCAUGUAAGAAAACAAAGAAACAAUGGAAGCCCCAACCAAUGAUCCAAGAACAGGCAAGGUCGCGGCAGCCACGCUGGAAUCUGGUCCUGAUGCUGUGACGGAAGAAGGAGAGGAGCUAGGACUAGAACCACCGGCGGAAGGGGAAGAAGCAGGUGCACCGGCAGAUAAGAGCUUGUUAUAAAUGGAUUUAUUGAAGUGAUUCAUCAAUAGUGACUGCGCUAGUAAUUCCACUAUUAUUAGUUAACAGUAAUGAAAAAUUUAAAUUCCUUCAUAUUUAUUUCAUAUUCAUAGAGAUAAAGGACAUAAUACACAUGGAUAUAGUAAGUCUUCCUUGAGCUGCUUUAAUGGUAAUCUUUACAUUUUCCUUUUUCACUCAUAGUAUGGGAAGAAGUGGACUCUAGGUGUACCCCUAAUUGGAGUUGAGGAAUCAAACCAUAUAAUUUCUUGGAUUCUAAUGGAGUAAUAUUUUAUGAAUAACACAUUUUCAACCAAAAUCAAAUAAACAUUUCAAUAAUCUCCUCAUAUUUUAAAAGUAAUAGGGAUCCAAAUGAUAGGUAAUUAAAAAAAAAUUCCUAAAUUUUCUAUUUUGAUGAAUUUUCUAUUUUGAUCGAUGAACUAGUCCUUACUAGAGUUAUAAAAUAUAUAUUUUAAUCUCGAUUUUCCUAAAAAAAAAAAUUCAACUUCCCGCUGCAUUUAUCUAAUUACGUACUAUUUAUUAGUUCAAUAAUUCAUCGUUAUUUUCAUGUUAUUAGUUGAAUAAAUCGAAAAGUAAACGCAUAAACACAAAAUACUUUUCAAUUCAAAGCUCCAUUUCAAUUUUUUUCAAUAUUCAUCACAUGUUUCUUACAAAAAAUAAAAAAUAAGAUAAAAUAAAAUAUUCGUUCACAUGUUGAUUUCUCAUACAUGUAGCAUGUAAGAAAACAAAGAAACAAUGGAAGCCCCAACCAAUGAUCCAAGAACAGGCAAGGUUGAGGCAGCCACGCUGGAAUCUGGUCCUGAUGCUGGGGCGGAAGCAGGAGAGGAGCUAGGACUAGAACCACCGGCGGAAGGGGAAGGAGCAGGUGCACCGGCAGCCAUGACGGCGCUCAUUGAGGCAGCAGCAACAAUGAUGGCGGUGGAGACCUUCUUCAUGUCCAUGGCGUAUAAAUGGAUUAUUAAACGCACCGGAAAUGAACGAGACCUGCGUUUAAUUGCUGGAGAAUGGGGAUCCGCCGGUGAUUGUUAUUAUUUGCUUUGUUAUUGCAGGUCUGAAGAACAAUGAUGUUGGGGAGGAUCUUUUAUAGGUGAAAAUUCAUAGCUAUUUUUAGUGAUGAAAUUUAAAAAUCAAAUUACGUGUUUGGUUUUCGCAUGGUUUGCGGGAUAGACAUGCAAAUUUUUUAAUAUUCUUAACUAUUUUAAGAUAAUGCGAUUUUAAAAUUUAAGUUUGAAUGAUAAUUAAUUUUUAUUUAAAUUUAAUUAAAUUAUUUGAAUAUAUUUUAUUUUUAAAAUAAAAAAUUUAAUUUGGACCGAUAUGAUUCUUUUACGAAAUUUUAAUGGUAAAGUAAAGCAAGACGAUUCUAAUCAUUUAUAUGUAAAUAUUAUAUCAUAAAAUGUAUUAAAAAAUAUUAUAUAUUAUGAUAAAUGGUUGGAUGGUAAAUUUUAUUGAGAUGAAUAUAGGACUAUAAAUGUAAAAUUAUUAGUUAACUUUCCAUAUUUGGGGAAGAUUGAAUUUCGGUUCUUUUAUUAAAAAAAUAAAUAAAUUAAUUUUUAUAUAUUUUGAAAUAUACAAAUUAGCUCAUUCGUUAAAUUUUAUCUAUUAAAUGAUGACGUGAAUGGUUAAAUAUAUGUUGAAAAUUAUCUUUUACGGGUAUAUAAAAAGAGUCACCUAAUUAUGUCUUUGUUCUAUUUUAGUUACCCAACCAAGAAUUCGUUUGGAUUUAAGUUUACCUUCAGUGUGGCACGAUUUUGGCACUUUAUUGCCCAAUCGUGUUGCAAUCAAUCACUAGGAUGCAUAAAUGGGAUUCAAUUUCAUUGCACUGAGCUUUACUUUUUUAGUUUUGGCGGAUUACAACUCCACUAACUUUUUCUUUCCUCUUGUAUCUAGACCUAAUCAUUGGCCAAGCCACCCGGCCCGAAGACUCACUCAAAAAGUAAAAGUAUUUGUGCAAAAAUAUAGGCUCGAAAAAUAGGUUUUUGCAAAAAAAAACAAGGCCUACUUUCUAAACAAGUUGCAUUGGGCAAGCUUUUUUUGCCCUAGCCUCGGCCCAAUCCAACUUUGUAAAAAAAAACCUACUGCUUUUUGCUGCUAUUGCACUAUUUUUGCAGUUGUUUUGUCACUGUUUUGGUAUCGUUUCGCUAUUAUAUUACUAUUAUUUUGUUCUUAUUAAUUGGAUAUUGUAUAACUCUUAUUUUAUUGUUAAUUUUGCUACUAUUUUAGAGAAUUUGCUUGCUAAGUUGUACCUAUCUUAGUAUUAUUAUAAAUUAUUUUUUAAUUUAUUUUCAAUUAGCUGAGAAACAUUAAUUUUAAUACAGACAGGGCGGGUCAGGCUCAAGUUUUAACAUUUUUAUUCAAGCCAAAUUUGGACAAAAUUUUAAACUUAUUUUUUAAGUUGGGCCAAAAAACGGAUCAAAAAUUCUAUUGAAGCCUGAACCAUGAUUAACUCUAUUUGUAUCCGUGCACCAUUUGUUUUAUAUCCAUACUCCUUAUGCCAUGUUCAUUCUUCUUUUUUUUUUUUGUUUAUUUCUCUUUUAAUAAAUUAAAUAAUUUUUUUAUUUUUUAAUAAAUUAAUGUAUAUUUAUCAUUUAAUAUAAUAAAUUAUUUUAAAUGAUUAUAAAUUAAUUAAUUAAAAUAUUUAUAAAAAUAUUAUGAUACAUGUUAUUAUUUUAUUAAAUAAAAUUACAACUUCACAUAUUUUAAUAAUUUCAUAAAAAUAAAAUAAUUUACAACUUCUAUUAUAUAUUAUUUCUAAUAAUGAUAAAGAAAAUUAUUUCCAACUUAAUAUCCUCACAUCACCGUUACAGCUAUGUUUGAAUUCAAGCACAUACCCAAUCACUAUUUUUAACCUCAUCGGAGCGAAUUCAGGAUGGGUUGGCAGGGCAUCGGCCUCCCCUAAAAUAAAAUUUUUUUCAUUUAGCUCUUUUUAUAAUUUUUAAAAUUUUAAAUUAACAAUAAUAAAAUUAUACUUUGUCCCUUCAAAAUGAUAAAAAAUUUAUUUAAUCUUUUAAUAUUUUCAUGUUUAAAAUUUAAAAAGUUAAUUCAACUACUUUAAAAAGAUUUUCCAACUUCAACCCACAUUUAUCUAAUUACAUAGUAGUUAUUAGUUCAAUAAUUCAUUGUUAUUUUCAAGUUAUUCAUUGUUUUGAAUAAAUCUAAAAGUAAAAGUAUAAACACAACAUACUUUCCAAAGCUCCAUUUCAAUUUUUUAAUAUUCAUCACAUGUUUCUUACAAAAUAAAAAAUAAAAUAAAAUAUUCGUUCACAUGUUAAUUUUUCAUACAUGUAGCUUACUGCAGCAUGCAAGAAAACAAAGAAACAAUGGAAGCCCCAACCAAUGAUCCAAGAACAGGCAAGGUUGCGGCAGCCACGCUGGAAUCUGGUCCUGAUGCUGGGGCGGAAGCAGGAGAGGAGCUAGGACUAGAACCACCGGCGGAAGGGGAAGGAGCAGGUGCACCGGCAGCCAUGACGGCGCUCAUUGAGGCAGCAGCAACAAUGAUGGCGGUGGAGACCUUCUUCAUGUCCAUGGCGUAUAAAGGGAUUAUUAAACGCACCGGAAAUGAAUGAGACCUGCGUUUAAUUGCUGGCGAAUGGGGAUCCGCCGGUGAUUGUUAUUAUUUGCUUUGUUAUUGAUGGUCU